rnacentral:rRNA from 1 species
UACGAAGGGGGCUAGCGUUGCUCGGAAUCACUGGGCGUAAAGCGCACGUAGGCGGCUUUCUAAGUCAGGGGUGAAAUCCCGGAGCUCAACUCCGGAACUGCCUUUGAUACUGGAGAGCUUGAGUUCGGGAGAGGUGAGUGGAACUGCGAGUGUAGAGGUGAAAUUCGUAGAUAUUCGCAAGAACACCAGUGGCGAAGGCGGCUCACUGGCCCGAUACUGACGCUGAGGUGCGAAAGCGUGGGGAGCAAACGGG